UCCCAGGUAGUAUAGUGGUUAGUAUCCGCGCCUGUCACGUGCGAGACCCGGGUUCGAUUCCCGGCCUGGGAG
rfam:Globodera pallida, Lindley, WGS project CBXT01000000 data, contig: pathogens_Gpal_scaffold_40_contig_9